GAUGAAGAACGCAGCGAAAUGCGAUAAGUAAUGUGAAUUGCAGAAUUCCGUGAAUCAUCGAAUCUUUGAACGCACAUUGCGCCCCCUGGCAUUCCGGGGGGCAUGCCUGUCCGAGCGUCAUUUCUGCCCUCAAGCGCGGCUUGUGUGUUGGGUGUGGUCCCCCCGGUGUUCGGGGGGGACCUGCCCGAAAGGCAGCGGCGACGCCCGCCUAGGUCCUCGAGCGUAUGGGGCUUUGUCACCCGCUCGGGAAGGGCCUACGGGUGUUGGUCAUCCCUCAAAUCUUUUUUUUUACGGUUGACCUCGGAUCAGGUAGGAGUUACCCGCUGAACUUAAGCAUAUCAAUAAGCGGAGGA
rnacentral:misc_RNA from 1 species